rnacentral:rRNA from 1 species
UUUUUGGAGAGUUUGAUCCUGGCUCAGGAUGAACGCUGGCGGCGUGCCUAAUACAUGCAAGUCGAGCGGGAGAAUCAUCCUCCGGGAUGAGGAUCCAGCGGCGAACGGGUGAGUAACACGUGGGCAACCUGCCCGCAAGACCGGGAUAACUCCGGGAAACCGGGGCUAAUACCGGAUAGGCCUUUUCCCUGCAUGGGGAAAAGGGGAAAGGCGGCUUCGGCUGUCACUUGCGGAUGGGCCCGCGGCGCAUUAGCUGGUUGGUGAGGUAACGGCUCACCAAGGCGACGAU